rnacentral:rRNA from 1 species
UUGAACGCUGGCGGCAGGCUUAACACAUGCAAGUCGAACGAUGACUCUCUAGCUUGCUAGAGAAGAUUAGUGGCGGACGGGUGAGUAACAUUUAGGAAUCUGCCUAGUAGUGGGGGAUAGCUCGGGGAAACUCGAAUUAAUACCGCAUACGACCUACGGGUGAAAGGGGGCGCAAGCUCUUGCUAUUAGAUGAGCCUAAAUCAGAUUAGCUAGUUGGUGGGGUAAAGGCCCACCAAGGCGACGAUCUGUAACUGGUCUGAGAGGAUGAUCAGUCACACCGGAACUGAGACACGGUCCGGACUCCUACGGGAGGCAGCAGUGGGGAAUAUUGGACAAUGGGGGC